rnacentral:rRNA from 1 species
CCGGGCCAACGCGCGGCUAAUGCCGGAUAUUGUGUCCUACUGCAUAGUAGGUUGACGAAAGAUUUAUCGUCGUGGGAUGAGCUUGCGUCCGAUUAGCUAGUUGGCGGGGUAAUAGCCCACCAAGGCGACGAUCGGUAGCCGGCCUGAGAGGGUGAUCGGCCACAUUGGGACUGAGAUACGGCCCAGACUCCUACGGGAGGCAGCAGUAGGGAAUAUUGCGCAAUGGGGGGAACCCUGACGCAGCAACGCCACGUGUGGGAAGAAGCAUUUCGGUGUGUAAACCACUGUCGGAAAGGAAUAACGGAAGACUUCGGUCUUUAUGAAUGUACUUUUAGAGGAAGCACCGGCAAACCUCGUGCCAGCAGCCGCGGUAAUACGAGGGGUGCAAGCGUUGUUCGGAAUCACUGGGCGUAAAGGGAGCGUAGGCGGAAGUGCAAGCAAUCUGUAUAAUCCUGGGGCCCAACCCCAGUUCUGCAGAUUGGACUGUAUUUCUUGAAUAGUUCAGAGGCAAGCGGAAUUUCUGGUGUAGCGGUGGAAUGCGUAGAGAUCAGAAAGAACACCAAUGGCGAAGGCAGCUUGCUGGGGACUUAUUGACGCUGAGGCUCGAAAGUGUGGUAGCAAACAGGAUUAGAUACCCUGGUAGUCCACACUGUAAACGAUGCAUACUGGGUGUCCGAAAUUCGUUUCGGGUACCGUAGCUAACGCGUUAAGUAUGCCGCCUGGGGAGUACGUACGCAAGUAUGAAACUCAAAGGAAUUGACGGGGGCCCGCACAAGCAGUGGAGCAUGCGGUUUAAUUCGAAGCAACGCGCAGAACCUUACCAGGGUUUGACGUGGAAACGCCGCAGCGAGAGAU